rnacentral:sRNA from 1 species
ACUAGAAUUAUAUGGUAGGACGGGUUUGGAUCGAUAUUAAUACAAAUUUAUAAUAUCAUCAACCCAAAGUAAUAAUACCGUUUAAAUAUUAUUUUAAUAUUUUAUCAGCAUUAUUUUUAACAGUAUUU